GUAAUUUGGUUUUGACCAAAAUCAAUUUUAUAAAGUCACUUGAGUCAUUUCAACUUAAUAAAAUCCAUAUUGAAAUAAAACCUACCAAAAGUUUUAGUUUAGAAAAAUACUUUAAUUACCUGAUUUCGUAAAAAUCAAAAUUAUGUUUCUAGAUUUCGUAAAUAGCAUAUAAGGCCAAGUGCAUAAAGUCUACUCUCGUAUUUUUAUUUUGGACUGAAAAAGUAUUCCAAAAUGCACUAUUUAACUGCUAAGAAUUUUAUAAAUUUUACAGAAUUUAUUUGAGUCAGUUCAGAUGUCCAAAACAAUUCUAAAAAUUAAGACAGAAAACAAUAAAGGAACAAAAAGAUAAAAGAGGAACCAGCCAGGCCAGCUCAACACACGCAACGCACGCACUAGCUCGCGUGCGUGAGCAGCACAGCAGAUACGCAUCCGAACCAACCCGGAUAAAUCUCCCAAUUCCGUUCGAUUUCGUGCCUCAUCUCUCACGAAAAGUCCAUCUAUAAAUAUCCCACAAUCUGCUCUGUUUUUUGCCCAAAAAAUCUCGAAUUUGUGCGCCGCCAGGCUGCCAAAUUUGCUCGCCGGAGUUCCGAGCCGCCGCCUCCAUUGGAGCUCAAUUCCGAGACCACCGGAGAUGCCGUCCAACACCACCGGAGUUCACCGGAGUUCCGCCACCGUCCGCCGACUUCAGCCGCCCGUAACCACCACCUAGAGCCUGGCUGAACUACACCGAGAACACGAACUGACGGAAAUCGUCUGCUGCUUCACGUCCACGCCUUGCCCAUGUUGGAGAACUACCAGAACGCCGCCGUCGUCCACUGCCCGAGCAAACCAGCAGCACGGUCGGACAUCCUCAUAUGCUGCAACCACUGUAAGAUUGUACGGAGUGCAACGAGUGCGACUGCACCGAUUAUCUGAACAACACCGAAGGCAAGUGUCACACACUGUCUUGUCCUACUAUUUUUCUAUGCACUUUGUGUUAUUUUCGGUAGCUAUUCAUGUGCAGGAUUGUUUUAAAUAUACAUAUUGCUAUGCUAUGAUCACCUGUUAGAACAACCACAUGUUCAACACUUGUUCUUUGUCGCUACCGUAUUGUAGUAUGCUUAGCAUUGCUAUUGUAGAUGCGUGGUUGGGAUUUCAUGAUGUGAUAUGUGGUAUUAUGAAAGUAUGGUUUUAUGUAAUAAAACUACCUAAAAUAAUGAAUCAUCUGGGUGGAAGUGGUAAUGCUUGGUUUAUGUUGAGUGGUUGCACCGGGGUCAUUUCUAUGGCAGCACCGUGUGCAUCGCACUUGAGGUUGGCCACCCAGGAACAAAGAGAUUAGCCCGGUGUUCCUGUUUUAGUAGCUUCCAGUACAACCACAUGCUAUAUGGGCUCUGGCUAGAUUGAGUAGGUUGCGAGAACUCGACCCAAUGUACAGAGGGUGGUAGAAGUUGGUAGGACGGAGCGCGUCCAUUGUGGUUGAGGUAUUGCUUCUGAAAGGUCUUGUCCUAGUCGACAUCUGUCCAUUUGAGCAAAAUGCGCAUCAUGGAAUAAGAACAGACUAGGUCAUGUGGAGAAUGUGUACAGCCUCUCGAGAGUGUCAAACUAAGUACUUAGCCGUGUCCCCGGUUAUGGACAUUAUGAGCAACUAGAGUCUGGAACUGUUUGGAGGAUCUCAUCAUUCUAAUUUCUUAAUAAAACUUGAUGGGAUAAACAAUGGGUUUAGGAGCAUGCAAAGUUAUGUUGUCUUGUGUUUACAUGGGCCUAUGCUAGCAUGUCCGUAGAUGUUUAGGAGCAUGUGAAGCUAAUUGUCUUGCGACGGCAUGGGUUAUGCUAAUAUGUUCCUAGACGAUGUUUCUGAAAAAUAAAAAUUGUUUAUAAAAGAUAUGGAAACUAUCAGCCUUCUGGGGUCCACUUCAGUUUAUCUCCAGUCUGACCGUCCGCGACGCUACUGUUGUUCACGUCACUACCGCUACGACUGCGGGGGAGUGUUAGAGAUAUAUUUGGUUACGUACGGUUAGGGAUAGAUUAGGUAGGGAUAGAUUUGUUUCUUGUCUUCUACUCCAAGUCGGUCCCUUGUACUCCUAUAUAUACUCGCCCAUGAGGCGCAAUACAACAUCCAUCAUAUUCCGCCAAUCUCUCUCCCUCUCUAUCCUUCAACAUGGUAUCAGAGCGGCGCCGAUCCUAACCUAGCCGCCGCCCAAGCUUCCGCGCCGCGCCGCCCCCGGGGAGGUCGAUCUCCAUGAUCUACUCCGGGGGCCGCGCAACCCGUAUGAGGGUUCGUCCGCCGAUCCG